rnacentral:rRNA from 1 species
GACGAACGCUGGCGGCGUGCUUAACACAUGCAAGUCGAACGGAAAGGCCCUGCUUUUGUGGGGUGCUCGAGUGGCGAACGGGUGAGUAACACGUGAGUAACCUGCCCUUGACUGUGGGAUAACUUCAGGAAACUGGGGCUAAUACCGGCUAGGAGCUCCUGCUGCAUGGUGGGGGUUGGAAAGUUUCGGCGGUUGGGGAUGGACUCGCGGCUUAUCAGCUUGUUGGUGGGGUAGUGGCUUACCAAGGCUUUGACGGGUAGCCGGCCUGAGAGGGUGACCGGCCACAUUGGGACUGAGAUACGGCCCAGACUCCUACGGGAGGCAGAAGUGGGGAAUAUUGCACAAUGGGCGGAAGCCUGAUGCAGCAACGCCGCGUGCGGGAUGACGGCCUUCGGGUUGUAAACCGCUUUCGCCUGUGACGAAGCGUGAGUGACGGUAAUGGGUAAAGAAGCACCGGCUAACUACGUG